rnacentral:tRNA from 1 species
GCCUCAAAAGCUCAGAUGGCCGAGCAGGCGUUUCGUAAACGCCAGGUCGCGAGUUCGACUCUCGCUUGAGGCU